rnacentral:lncRNA from 1 species
CAUUUAGGAUCUUCAGUUACCCGGCUUGAAUGUGGUAUACUGCGGUGGCUUCUCGAUCUUGCUAGGAUGCUUCAACGUAGCUAAGCGAUCUGGUUUGAGAAACAGCUGCUCCCCCUGCACAAUGUUUAUCUCAGAAGAGAAGUUUGGAAAGAGAAAGAGGGGCUGAGGAAACGAUGCAACUUAUUAUAUUUAUGACUCGUGGCUGCAAACGAAAACGGUAUCUUUCUGGAUGGGCAAGGAAAGAAAGAAAUAAGCAAUGGAAUAUAAAUUAGUUCGAACGAAAAUAGCAUCUUCUAUGAUAACACAGUUAAUAAGAUGGAAAUGCGAUUGGUUAAAG